CUACGGGGCGCACCAGUGAGGAAUAUUGCACAAUGGGGGGAACCCUGAUGCAGCAACGCCGCGUGGAGGAUGACGCAUUUCGGUGUGUAAACUCCUUUUAUAUGUCAAGAAAAUGACGGUAGCAUAUGAAUAAGCACCGGCUAACUCCGUGCCAGCAGCCGCGGUAAUACGGAGGGUGCAAGCGUUACUCGGAAUCACUGGGCGUAAAGGACGCGUAGGCGGGUUGGAAAGUCAGGUGUGAAGUCCUACAGCUUAACUGUAGAACUGCACUUGAAACUUCUAAUCUAGAGUAUGGGAGGGGGAGAUGGAAUUAGUGGUGUAGGGGUAAAAUCCGUAGAUAUCACUAGGAAUACCUAAAGCGAAGGCGAUCUCCUGGAACAUUACUGACGCUAAGGCGUGAAAGCGUGGGGAGCAAGCAGGAUUAGAUACCCGCGUAGUC
rnacentral:rRNA from 1 species